rnacentral:rRNA from 1 species
UUGGAGGGCAAGUCUGGUGCCAGCAGCCGCGGUAAUUCCAGCUCCAAUAGCGUAUAUUAAAGUUGUUGCAGUUAAAAAGCUCGUAGUUGAAUUUCGGGAUCAAUUUAUUGGUCGUGCUAUUGUACGUACUGGUAUUAUUGAUUCCUACCUUCUGACGAACCAUGAUGUCAUUAAUUUGGUGUCAUGGGGAAUCAGGACUGUUACUUUGAAAAAAUUAGAGUGUUUAAAGCAGGCUCACGCUUGAAUACAUUAGCAUGGAAUAACGAAAUAGGACGUUUGAUUCUAUUUUGUUGGUUUCUAGGAUCGACGUAAUGAUUAAUAGGGAUAGUUGGGGGCAUUAGUAUUCAAUUGUCAGAGGUGAAAUUCUUGGAUUUAUUGAAGACUAACUACUGCGAAAGCACUUGCCAAGGAUGUUUUCAUUAAUCAAGAACGAAAGUUAGGGGAUCGAAGACGAUCAGAUACCGUCGUAGUCCUAACCAUAAACUAUGCCGACUAGGGAUCGGAUGAUGUUAAUUUUUUAAUGACUCGUUCGGCGCCUUACGGGAAAC